rnacentral:lncRNA from 1 species
CUUUUGUUGAGAAUUUUGACUUUUACUCUGAGUGACAUCAAAGCCAUUGGGAAAUGAGUUGCAUAAGAACAACAUAGUCUACAUGAUCUGAUAGAUUUAAGAUCAUCACUCAGGCUGCUGUGUCAUGAAUUAGAAUGCAAGGGGCAAGGACUAAGCAAGGAUCCCUAGAAGAUACUAUUUAAAAACUAAGUGGGAGAUCACAGUGGCUCAGGUCAGAGUAAUAGUAGUGAAGGUGGAAGAAAACGGUUGGAAUCUGGAUAUGUGUUAAAGCAAAAACGGAAAUGAUUUAUCAUAAGAUUAGAGGCCAGAGUCCAGGACAUAUCCUAGCAGGGGUUUGUAGCCCAGAGACAAUUUGCUCUGCUAAAGAGGAAAUACCCUCAGGGCAUCUACCUGGCUUCACAGGCUGCUGACCACAGGUAACAUUGUCAUGGCUCCUGGCACCUCUGGGAUCUAGCUGAAGAAGUAAUGUAAAGACAGCAUGUCAAAUGGAAGAAAAUAUUUGCAAACUAUUCAUCUAACAAGGGACUAAUAUCCAGAAUACACAAGGAAUUCAAACAACUCAAAAGUAAGGAAGAUAAUAAUAAUCCCAUUAGAAAGUGGGCAAAGAACGUGAAUAGACAUUUCUCAAAAGAAGACAUACAAGUGGCCAACAGGUAUAUGAAAAAUGCUCAACAUACCUAAUCUUCAAGGAAAUGAAAAUCAAAACAGAAAGAGAUAUCAUCUUACCCCAGUAAGAAUGGCUAUUACUAAAAAGACAAAAACAGUGCUGAAAAUUUUCAUGGAGAUGGAGCAAGAUAGCCAAAUAGAAGACUCCAGCAAUCAUCCUCCCAAAAGGCACAUCAAAUUGAACAGCUAUCCACACAUAAAAGUGCCUUCAUAUGAACCAAAAAUCAGGAAAGAGAACAAGCACUGAAAAAAAAACCAACAGAAUAUCUGAAGACUGUGGGACAACUGCAAAAUCUCUAACAUCUCUCUAAUGAAAAUUCCAUAAGGAGAAAAGAAACGAUAGGAACAGAAGAAAUAUUUGAAACAAUAAUGACUGAGAUUUUCCCCAAAUGAAUGUAAGACAGCAAACCAGAGAUCCAAGAAGCUCAGAAAACACAAAGCAAAAUAAAUAUAAAACAAAACAAAAACUCCAAAUGAUGCCUAGGCAUAUCAUUUUUAAACUAUAAAAAAACAAACAAGAAGAAAAAAUCCUGAGAGCAGUCAGAGGAUAGAGACACUUUACCUCUAAAACAAUAAUUACAUCUGACUUCCCUUGCACUUUUCAGUGCAAGCAAGAAAAGAAUGGAUUGAAAUAGUUAAACUGUUGAUAGAAAAGAAACACCAACCUAGAAUUCUGUACCAUAAAAAUUAUCUUUCCAAAGUGAAAGAAAAAUAAAGACUUCCUCAGACAAAUAAUAAUUGAUGAAAUUUGUUGCCAGUAGCUGCCUUGUAAUAAAUAGUAAAGAAAUUUCUUUAGAAAGAAGGAAAAUUUUAUAGGUUAGAAACCUGAAUGAAGAAAGAACAUCAAAGAAGGAAUAAAUGAAGUAAAAUUAAAACUUAUUUUUCUUACUCUUAAUCUAACAAAUAAAAUUUUGUUCAAAAUAAUAAUGGCAAUAAAUUCAAUUAUAUAUUCUAUUAUGUAUGUUGAUAUAUACAUAAUUGAUAUGGUUUGACCCUGUGCCCCUACCCAAAUUUGACCUUGAAUUGAAGUAAUCCCCUUAUGUCAAGGGCAGGACCAGGUGGAGAUAAUUGAAUCACAGUGGCGUUUUCCCCCAUACUGUCCUCAUGAUAGUGAGUUCUCAUGACGUCUGUUGGUUUUAUAAGGGGCUUUCUCCCCAUUCACUCUGCACUUCUCCUUGCUGCUGCCAUGUGAAGAAGGAUGUGUUUGCUUCCACUUUUGCCAUGAUUGUAAGUUUCCUGAGGCUUCCCCAGAUAUGCUGAACAUGAAUCAAUUAAACCUUUUCUCUUUAUAAACUAACACAGUCUCAGAUAUGUCUUUAUUAGCAGUGAGAAUGUACUAAUACAAUAAUCAAGUAUAUUGUACUUAUAUAUGUUUAUGUGUAUGUGUAUAUAUACACAAAUGAAAUAAAUGACCACAAUGAUACAAGGGAUGGGGAGGAAUCAGGAUUAUUUUGUUAUUAGAAGGUGCUCACAUUACACAUAAAGUGUUUUAAUGUUAUUUAAAAGUGGAUUUGGGUUCCUUACAAAUGCCUAUGACAAACUCCACAGCAACCACCAUAAAAGCUAAAGAACAGGAUGCAUAACUGAUAUGCUAAGAGACAGAGAAAAUCGAAUUAUAUCAAGUGUUCAACUGAAUACCACAAAGCACAGAAAAAGAGUGGAAAACAAAAACAGACAAAAAGAACAAGGGAAACAAAUAGAAAAAGUAACAAAUAUGGAAGUUGUUAACCUAAACAUAUCAAUAAUCACUUUGAACACGUUAAACAACAGAGGUUGUCAGAGAGGGUCAAAAAAUGAGACCCAGUUAUAUAUAUUCUACAAGAAACCCACUGUAAAUAUAAAG